UGGGGAAUAUUGCACAAUGGGCGAAAGCCUGAUGCAGCAACGCCGCGUGAAGGAUGAAGGUCUUCGGAUCGUAAACUUCUGUCCUAUGGGAAGAUAAUGACGGUACCAUAGGAGGAAGCCCCGGCUAACUACGUGCCAGCAGCCGCGGUAAUACGUAGGGGGCGAGCGUUAUCCGGAAUUAUUGGGCGUAAAGAGUGCGUAGGUGGUAACUUAAGCGCGGGGUUUAAGGCAAUGGCUUAACCAUUGUUCGCCCUGCGAACUGGGAUACUUGAGUGCAGGAGAGGAAAGCGGAAUUCCUAGUGUAGCGGUGAAAUGCGUAGAUAUUAGGAGGAACACCAGUGGCGAAGGCGGCUUUCUGGACUGAAACUGACACUGAGGCACGAAAGUGUGGGGAGCAAACAG
rnacentral:rRNA from 1 species